AUGGCGACACAAGUAGAUAAUUUUGACGAUGAUCCAUUGAAAGAGGAAUUCGAGAAAGGGACAGGGCCCAGGUGGUUUCGCUAUAGCGAUCUUGCCGUCGCCACCAGCAACUUCUCCGACCAGAUGAAGCUGGGUGAAGGUGGUUUUGGUUCCGUGUACAAAGGAUUUUUGAAGGAGCUUAAAGUAGAGGUGGCUAUAAAAAAAGUGUCCAAGACCUCCAAGCAGGGGAGGAAGGAGUACAUGUCAGAGGUGAAGAUCAUAAGUCGUUUGAGGCAUCGAAACAUCGUACAGCUUAUUGGUUGGUGCCAUGGUGGCGGCGAGCUCUUGCUUGUGUACGAUCUUAUGCCCCACGGCAGCCUAGAUACUCACCUUUAUUGUUCAAACGCCACAUUAUUGUGGCCAUUCAGAUAUGAGAUUGUGUUGGGGCUUGGGUCGGCACUUCUGUACCUGCAUCAAGAUUGGGAGCAAUGUGUUCUGCAUCGUGACAUCAAGCCAAGCAACAUCAUGUUAGAUGCAUCCUUCUGUGCCAAACUUGGUGAUUUUGGGCUUGCCCGGCUUGUCGACCACGGCCGAGGACCAUACACAACAGGUCUUGCAGGAACUAUGGGCUACAUGGAUCCUGAGUGUGUGGUCACCGGAAGGACCAGCGUCGAGUCUGAUGUCUACAGCUUUGGCGUCGUCAUGCUCGAGAUCGCCUGCGGCAAGCGGCCCGCGGUUGCUCGGGGGCAAGAGGACAUCAUUCAUCUGGUGCAAUGGGUUUGGGAUUCAUGGGAAAGUAGAAGGACCCUUGAAGCGGCUGAUGCGCAGCUCAACCUGGAGUUUGACGAACGGGAGAUGGAGUGUGUGAUGGUCGUCGGGCUCUGGUGCGCGCACCCUGAUAGGACCCUGAGGCCGUCCAUCAAGCAAGCGGUCAACGUGCUACGAUUUGAGGCGCCUCUACCAAGCUUUCCAGCAAAGAUGCCCGUCGCGACAUUCAUGACGGCAAUUGAUUCUUCAUUAGUUUCUGCAUCCCAGCUUACAGCGGGCAGAUGA
rnacentral:rRNA from 1 species